GGAUAUGUGAGUGAUCUCGCUGUGACAUCUGUCAUCGCAUAGAUUGCCAGAGUUAAUUUGGCUAAUCUGACUGACUAGGCGGGUGUCCCCUUCCUCCCUCACCUCUCCAUGUGUGUCCUUCCCAAAACUAUGUGCUGGGUGGAAGAGAAUGACCUUCCCUGUUAGAAGGCUAUUUCAUGUACACAU
rnacentral:snRNA from 1 species